rnacentral:lncRNA from 1 species
AAACAGCCAAUUUGUAGACUUUCUUUGCAGAUCUAUGGAACGACCAACUGAACAUCAAGUAUAUGGGGGAUAUCUGAACAUAAAAGGAGGCUGCUGGAUCAGGCCAAUGGCCAUUCUGGUCCAGCAUGCCCAGGGGUAAACCCUCAAGCAGCACCCAGGCACAACAGCCCUCACCCCUUCUGUGGCUUCCAAGAACUGGCAUUCAGAAGCAUUAUGCCUCCAAACGUGGAAGCAGAGAACAGCCAUCAUGGCUGGUAGCUGCUGCUAGCCUUCUCCUCCAUGGAUCUGUCCAGUCCUCUUUUAAAGCCAUCCAGGUUGGUCAUCGCUGCCUCCUGUGGGAGUAGUUCCAUAGUUUUACUAUGCACUGCAUGUGUAGAGAUGGGGUUUCUGAUAUACCGUAUUUUUCGCUCUAUAAGACGCACCCGACUAUAAGACGCACCUGGUUUUAGAGGAGGAGAACAAGAAAAAAAAUACUCUCUUCCUCUCUGCGCAGUGCCUCUCCAGCAAAGCGGGAGGAGAAAUGGAAGGGGCUCCGAUCCCUCCUGCUUUCCUGGCUUCAGCGAAAGCUGCGCAGCCUGCAUUCGCUCCAUAAGACGCACACACAUUUCCCCUUACUUUUUAGGAGGGGAAAGUGCGUCUUAUAGAGCGAAAAAUAUGGUAUGUGCCAUAAGGGACACCUCUUUGAAGCACAUAUGCGUGUGUGUGUGUGUGUGUGUGUGUGCACGCGCGCGCGCACACACACACACAGACACAGACACACACACACACACACACACACAAGCUGCCCCAAAGUCCCCUUUUCCCCUUAACUGGAAGGGGGAAAUUUCUAUCAUGAGAGGGUGUGUGUAAAAAAGUGAAGUCUGUUAAGCAACCGUCUUACACUACCAAGGUGUAGAGAAACCUCCUGGAGUGAUUCAUCCUUCCCUUUGCACAAUGCAACUGCACGUCCCAGGAGACACCUGUUCAUCAACAAGCUGUCGUGUUUUUGAAGAAAUGAACAACCCCUGAAACAAUUGCAGCUAGCAAAGGCAAGGAACACUGGCUAGAGGUUAUAUAUUGCUCAAGGCGGGCACAGGUGGAUGGAACUGCAAGCCAGGUCAGAAACAGAACUAAGCAAGAGGGGGGAGGUUUAUGUUUUGCGGACAGGAAAAGGGCAGAAAAAGAAUGACCCAUCAGAGGCGACUGCCCCUAAGUGAGCGGAGCAGCUGCUCAUACUGGGACGAGAUGGUCAGUAAGGCUGUCUGGAAAGAAAAAGCACAGGGCCAUCUGCCGACAUGGGACUUUGCACCUUCUGGGUACAGCAGAGAGUCUGUCCAGUAAAGCUUCUCCAAGUCAUGACAAGGGGAGGAAAAUGAAAUCAAGUUUGCCCAGCAGAAACUCAGUCUCUAGAUUCCAUGCCAAUCAAAACAAUGUUCAGUUCUGUUGAAUCAGCUAUAAGGGGCAAAUUCUGCAGCCUAGGACUUCCUAAUGCUUGGCACCAUCAGUAGAUGACCCUAACAAGGAUUAAACUCACAACACAGGGAAGGAAGGGCUUUAAUCCAGCAUGCCCCACCAUGGUGCGAUCCAAGUCCAACAUUUUUAUCAACUUGACAAAGCCAGCUCUCAUUUGCUAAAUUCAGUUUAGGAGUCUCAGAUGCAAAGUUUAGCUGGCUACAGAUUCUGAAACAUCCGUAGGCUAAACGUCAUUAGGUGGACAGUCUUUAGCUAAGGGCAAAGCCAGGGGCACUUGGAAAUGCUGAUAGCGCUAGGGAGAGAAAAGAAUGCGGUUCUCCGCUUUGGAGAGGGACACUUGGUGGAAAGGAUGUGCAGCAGAUGCUUCCUAGCCUUAUUGCAUUUUAAGUUAUGUUCACUCACCUGACAUCACUUAAAUUAGUUAUCCCUUCUUUGUCUUCCCAUGAUCAUCAUGUAUACAAUCACUUUUUUGGCAUCCUGGAGGAAAUUCACAUUCUCUUGCUAUAUGUUGAAAGGUGGUAUAUAUAUUAUAAUCAAUCAAUUAAUUUAAGAAUGACAUGUUUUCUGAUUUUAGAUAACACCAAACCACUUUGAAUACAAACCAUACAAACAGCAAGGUGUCAAGUGGUUAAGAGAAUAAAUUCAUCAUCAACAAAAACAACUGUUCCCACCCUAAAUAUGAGACCAUAUUUCUUCCAACUGAGCUCUGAUACUGGAAUAAAGUCUUUGGCAUAGAAGGUAGAAGAGGUGGCUGCAGAGCUUCAAAUCCUUUGCGGAAUAGGGAGACACAGCUUUCUGUUAGGGAUGGAGUCAGAAGCAAGUCAGCAGUAAAGGAAGCAGACCUCCAUUGUCAGUGAAGUUAAUUCUUUAUUCAAGAAAUUGAACAUACAAUUCAGCCUAGUGGUCUCAGCAACACUUCCCAGUAGAUCUUGCCCUUAUGGAGCAGUUGCCAGGACUGAAGAUCCCAACCAUCCUGGAUGUUUCCCAAGCAGUCUCAAACUGCGUCUGUGCACCUCUGACCUCUGCUCUGCUAAUUACUCUGUGUGUUCUUGGAGACCAGAGGAGAGGGGAAUUUGUUGCAGCAGGAGAGGGAGACUCUAGGGAUUCUCCAGCAGCCUCGGAGUCUGAACUGCUCCCUGCCACUGGCUCUUCCUGCUCACUAAACCCUGUUGCCCCUUCAGCACCCAGCACCUCCUCCCAAUCUUCUCCCUCUGACUGCUUCUCGGCAUCCCACCACUAAUCCCCUGGCUCUGAGCCCUCCUCUUCUGAGGUUUCCCAGCUGCUCCCUCCCACCAAGGCCAAAUGUGUACUUAACAAUUUGCUAAUUAACUAAUGGUCCAUAAAAGACCACUGUCUCCAAGUGGCAGCCAAUGAGUCAAUGGUCAUUAUGGAGAUAGACCGUCACUUAAAGACACAGGCUUUCAUACUGUCAUGGGUAGUUUGGCCCUACAACAGGCUUAACCAAUACCAGGGCUGGCCCAGGCCAUUUCACUGCUCGAGACAAAGGAGGGGAUGGUGCCCUUUGACCCCUCCCAAUGCAACCAGACUGGCAGUUGAAGCUUCCUUCAACAGUGGGAAAAACACCCUCCACCACCCUGACAGCAGCUGGCUAGCUUUGGGGCCUCAAAGGGAAUUGCGGGAAGCUGCUUCCCCUCCCAGCAUUAGCUACCUGAGGCAGCUGUAUCACUCCACCUAAUAUGAUGGCUGGCCCUAACCAAUGGCAUAGCAUGAGGGGGCACAGGGGCAGUUGACCUGGGCGCAAGUUUAUUAGGGGUGCAGCAUUUCAACACCUAGUGCUGCCUCAGUUCCUGAGUACAGCUGUGUGCUUCUGUUGCUGGGCUCCGUUGAAAACGGCUUCUCCAGGCAAACCAGAAAGCGACCUCUCCAGACAAUGGAACAACUCUUAUCUCUGUGGCUGCAAUCUCCUGGGUAAUGCAGACACCAUUGAAUGUGCAUGCGUACUCCAUUUCCCUCUCUCUGCAUGACCCUGGGCGAUGGCAACCCACACUACACCACUGGCCCUAAGGGAUCCCUCACCCCCAGAUGUAAAGCAAACGGAGGAAAGGAGGUAAAAAAGCCACAACACACCUCCCAGAGCUUCUUCCUUCAAGGGAAGCAUCACUGAUUACUUAAUACCCCAGCAAAGUGUCUUGACCCUCUUAAAGCAAAGGUCACAGAAGUUAAUUUGCCAGCCAGGGAUGGAUGCAGGGAUGGCCGUGUUUUGAUUUGAACCCUUCGGCCUGAAGGAGACCCGGCAUUUCAAAGUGGCUAUGCCGUUUAUUAAACUCUCCUCUCUGGAUUAAGCAAUGGCUUGCAGCUCCAAAACUGCCAAGCCAUCACAUUUCCCAGGCAAUUCACUGUUUGAAGAGAAAAUGUAAAAAUAAAGUCCGCAGAAAGCAGCC